rnacentral:rRNA from 1 species
GAUGAACGCUGACAGAAUGCUUAACACAUGCAAGUCUACUUGAUUCUACUUCGGUAGUUGAUGGUGGCGGACGGGUGAGUAACGCGUAAAGAAUCUGCCCUUUAGUUUGGGAUAACCUUUGGAAACGAAGGCUAAUACCGGAUAUUAUGGAGACGUCGCAUGGCGACUCCAUGAAAGCUAUAUGCGCUAGAGGAGGACUUUGCGUCCCAUUAGUUAGCUGGUGAGGUAAUGGCUCACCAAGGCUACGAUCAGUAGCUGAUCUGAGAGGAUGAUCAGCCACAUUGGGACUGAGACACGGCCCAAACUCCUACGGGAGGCAGCAGUGGGGAGUCUUAGACAAUGGGGGAAACCCUGAUCUAGCCAUGCCGCGUGAUCGAUGAAGGCCUUAGGGUUGUAAAGAUCUUUCAGUGGGGAAGAUAAUGACUGUACCCACAGAAGAAGCCCCGGCUAACUCCGUGCCAGCAGCCGCGCAGUAAC